CCAGACUCCUACGGGAGGCAGCAGUGAGGAAUAUUGGUCAAUGGCCGAGAGGCUGAACCAGCCAAGUCGCGUGAGGGAAGACGGCCCUACGGGUUGUAAACCUCUUUUGUCGGGGAGCAAAGCGAGUCACGUGUGACUCAUUGAGAGUACCCGAAGAAAAAGCAUCGGCUAACUCCGUGCCAGCAGCCGCGGUAAUACGGAGGAUGCGAGCGUUAUCCGGAUUUAUUGGGUUUAAAGGGUGCGCAGGCGGAGGUGCAAGUCAGCGGUCAAAUUGCGGGGCUCAACCCCGUCGUGCCGUUGAAACUGGCGUUCUUGAGUGAGCGAGAAGUAUGCGGAAUGCGUGGUGUAGCGGUGAAAUGCAUAGAUAUCACGCAGAACUCCGAUUGCGAAGGCAGCAUACCGGCGCUCAACUGACGCUCAUGCACGAAAGCGUGGGUAUCGAACAGGAUUAGAUACCCUGGUA
rnacentral:rRNA from 1 species